ensembl:lincRNA C230014O12Rik RIKEN cDNA C230014O12 gene
UUCAGCAAUAAGCCCGCGCGUGGCGCCCGGCCCAGAAAGGUACAAUAACUGUAUAUUUUAACUUAAUGGUUUUUUGGGGGGCAUGCAAAUUUCUGUGAGCAGAUUGUGUUGAGGCCUGGGCUUGGAGCGGCCUCCCUGAGCCCCAGAAGCCCCCCGGAGCACCCCCGGCUCAGUGAAGGUUGCCCGUGUCAAAAUCGAGAUAUCAAACACCGAGGCUGAAAGACAAGGUAGGAGGCAAGCUGAGGUCCAGAGAUGGCAUGACAGCCUGGAGUUCCACAGGGGCCAGCCUUGGGCAAGAUCCUGUGGAGCCUGAAUCCAAACUCAGCCCAAGAUAUUACUUCUGCUCUGGCUGAUUCCAUUUUCCUGCUCAGGGUCAACUCAUACAUCCAUCUUGCAAGGACCUCGUAGGACUCUGGUCAGGAAGCCACUUGGGGAGGACCCUCAGAUGAUUUUUUCUGGGGACAGUGAUAUUGGAACCUGUCUUCCCUCCCACCUCAGUGAGCCCUUGGGGAUGUCCAGCUCCAGGAGACAAGGUUAAGGAGGCCAGCAAAAUGGUGGCUUCUUCCCUUCUCACCCUGUUAUUCU